CACAUCCGGCUUCUUCACCUGCGGGAUCAUCUGAGACCAGCCACCCAGAAAGCUUAUUAAACUGUGGGUUUGCACAUCCAAAGAAUUUCUGCCAAACUGUCAGAUACGAACUCAGGGAAACUAAUCUGCGUGCUCUAUAUAUAUAUUUCUGUUUAAUAUAAUUUGACCACAUUUGUUACGAUAAUAAUCCAUAUAAAGUACAGUAAAUUGUCAAAUUAGAGGGAUGUGUGAAACCGUUGUUGAAAUACUAUAAAAGACUGAGAUAAUGGGAAAUCGAAUGGGAGAUGGCUGAUCUUGCUCUGUUGGAAAAUGUGGCACAUGCUGCAUUUAGCAGAGAGUGUGUUUUUAGGAGGGUAUCAUUUCCCAAAAUAUCAUUUCCCAAAGCCAAUAUUAUUGGAUUUAUGCCAAGAUUUAAUACCUACUUUAGAAAGGCAAACAAAGAAAACGCAUGCCAUUCCGGUGCACAUCCAAGUGCUAUUCUCUAGUUUUUGGAAACAGCAUUUUUCAGCUGGAGCUUGCCAUUGGUUUGGCAUCUCACAACCCUAGAUGAGUCGAUUCAUGCCAGCUGUUUUGGAUUGAAUCAUCAGCAAGGGCUACAGUUGCAUCCAGUUACCACCGUCGCACAAAAGGUUGAAGUCAAGAGGGGUUUGUUUGCCAUCAACGGUUUCUGAAAUACCAUCACAGCAAUAGAUGAUACCCACGUCUCGAUAAAAGCACCAUCCCAAAACGGGUUCAACUAUGAACAGAAAAGUUUUCCGCUCAAUGGAUGUCAUAUGUGAUGCUCAAAAGACGCUACUGAAUGUGGUGGCCAGGUGGAACACACGACUCGCUCYUUCUGCAGAACAGCAAUGUUGGCCUUCGCUUACAGGAGGGAGCUGUUGAGGAUGGAUGGCUUAUUGGUGAGUGCCUACUCGUUUGAAGUAUAUUUGACAUUGCUAAAGCAACUUGAUUUGUCCUAAUGGUUCUCUCUCUUUGUAGGACACAGAAGUUAUCUGUUAAAACCCUGGCUGAUGACAAGGGUGGGAAAUUAACUUUUUGGURCACCAGCCACUGUGGCAGGACCGCGUCAGUCAGUACCGUUGGCUCCCGACUUGAUGUGGCACGAGUUGACUUCCCCUGGUUGGCACUSUCACCAGUUCCCCUGGGUGGCACGGUGACUGGAUCUCUGCCAGUCACUAUCCGCAAUAGAUGUUCUUUUGUGUGUAUUAAUGACUUGUCGUGUUAUUGUUUGAUURGUUUUGUUCCGAAUCAUUAGCCUACAAUUAUUUGUUUUAAACAUAGGACAACGAAAAAACUACUUGUUUUCAAUAUCGUGAUAAAUAAAUAUGAAUUGAAUGAAAUUGA